AUUGACGGGGAUCCGCACAAGCGGUGGAGCAUGUGGUUUAAUUUGAAGAUACGCGUAGAACCUUACCCACUCUUGACAUCUUCCGCAAAGCUAUAGAGAUAUAGUGGAGGUUAACGGAAUGACAGAUGGUGCAUGGUUGUCGUCAGCUCGUGUCGUGAGAUGUUCGGUUAAGUCCUGCAACGAGCGCAACCCUUGUCCUUAGUUAGAUGAUCUAAGGAAACUGCCCGGGUAACUGGGAGGAAGGUGGGGACGACGUCAAAUCAUCAUGCCUCUUACGAGUGGGGCAACACACGUGCUACAAUGGAUGGUACAAAGAGAAGCAAUACGGCGACGUGGAGCAAAUCUCAAAAAACCAUUCUCGAGUUCGGAUUGUAGUCUGCAACUCGACUACAUGAAGUCGGAAUCGCUAGUAAUCGUAGAUCAGCUACGCU
rnacentral:rRNA from 1 species